UUUGAACGUGUUACCUCAGCAUCAGCAUGCAC
rnacentral:piRNA from 1 species